AGAGUUUGAUCCUGGCUCAGGACGAACGCUGGCGGCAGGCCUAACACAUGCAAGUCGAGCGCCCGUAGCAAUACGGGAGCGGCAGACGGGAGAGUAACACGUGGGAACGUGCCCUUCGGUUCGGAAUAACUCAGGGAAACUUGAGCUAAUACCGGAUACGCCCUUACGGGGAAAGAUUUAUUGCCGAAGGAGCGGCCCGC
rnacentral:rRNA from 1 species